UACGAAGGGGGCUAGCGUUGCUCGGAAUCACUGGGCGUAAAGCGCACGUAGGCGGAUCUUUAAGUCAGGGGUGAAAUCCUGGAGCUCAACUCCAGAACUGCCUUUGAUACUGAGGAUCUCGAGUCCGGGAGAGGUGAGUGGAACUGCGAGUGUAGAGGUGAAAUUCGUAGAUAUUCGCAAGAACACCAGUGGCGAAGGCGGCUCACUGGCCCGGUACUGACGCUGAGGAGCGAAAGCGUGGGGAGCGAACAGG
rnacentral:rRNA from 1 species